rnacentral:misc_RNA from 1 species
AGCAGCCGCGGUAAUUCCAGCUCCAAUAGCGUAUAUUAAAGUUGCUGCAGUUAAAAAGCUCGUAGUUGAAUUUCGGGACCGAUAUAUCGGUCGUGCCUCGGUACGUACUGGUAUUUUCGGUUUCUCCCUUCUGAUGAACCUUGAUGUCAUUAAUUUGGUGUCUUGGGGAAUCAGGACUGUUACUUUGAAAAAAUUUAGAGUGUUUAAAGCAGGCUCACGCUUGAAUACAUUAGCAUGGAAUAAUGAAAUAGGACGUUUGAUUCUAUUUUGUUGGUUUCUAGGAUCGACGUAAUGAUUAAUAGGGAUAGUUGGGGGCAUUAGUAUUCAAUUGUCAGAGGUGAAAUUCUUGGAUUUAUUGAAGACUAACUACUGCGAAAGCAUUUGCCAAGGAUGUUUUCAUUAAUCAAGAACGAAAGUUAGGGGAUCGAAGACGAUCAGAUACCGUCGUAGUCUUAACCAUAAACUAUGCCGACUAGGGAUCGGAUGAUGUUAAUUUUUUUAAUGACUCAUUCGGCGCCUU